rnacentral:tRNA from 1 species
GGGAAUGUUCUAAUGUUGGUAAUUAGAUUAAUAUUGUAAAUAUUACACGUUUUCGUUUCGACUGUUCGAUUCAGUCCAUUCUCA